UGGCAUCCCUUGGGAGAACUGCAUUGGUCUCUCAGUUUACAAUGCAGCUGUGAACAUUGGACCACGUAAUUCCAUUGCCUCUAGGGUGCUCCAGAAGCAUCCCAACACCUAUAUUCAUGGUUGUCCUUGUCAUGUGGCACAUAACACCGCCAAAGCUGCAGGAGUGGGAUUUUUUAAAGAUUUUUUAAAGUGUCCGGUUUUGAUUUGGAGGAUAUGGUAGUGGACAUCGGUUACUGGUUCAAGGGUAGCACAAAUCGGAAAGGAUACCUGUCAGGUAUGCAUGUUUGAUACUAUUAAGUGUAAUACUGAAAUGCUGAGCUGUAGAAAAUAUAUGAUAUGGAUUUAAUGUCUAAAACAGAGUUUUGUGAGCUCCAUGAAGCGGAGUACAUGGAGGUCCUCCUGUGUAUCUCGGUCCGUUGGCUAAGCCUUGAACGUUGUGUGACCAGGAUCCUGAGGCUGUAUGAACCUCUGGCCAGCUACUACAAAUCUGCUAAUGAAAAUCAGGCCAGGUUCAAGAGACUUGUGCAGACAUUCACUGAC